ACCUAAAUUAAGCUGCGGGCAAAGGAGAGCCGGUUAAAAGGAGAACCGGUUACCCCUGUAAUCUUUGUGCACGAAGAUCCGAGCGAAGACGCAGGACGCAAACUGCUAUCAGAACAGCUGAGAAGGGGUGGACUCAUGCGAGCCACGUCAAAGGUCCAGUCACCACAGACGACCACUGGAAAGUGACCAGCCAGCCUGGGGACUUGAAGGUUACCAUUAAGAGAAACUGAUGAACUCUGUAUACAUCAUUCAAGUCCGUCACAAAGGGGAGCAAGAGGGAUAUAAUUACCUGCUUGUUAGUGAUUAUUUGAUAAUUUGUAAUAAGGUAAACUGUGAUUGUUAUCCUUUUGUAUGCUUUGCAUGUAAAGUUUGCCAAGAACAGUGGGGAGUCCAGUGCCGAAGGGGGAGGCUGCCCACUGGGGUUUGUACAGAAUGUUACACGACUGAACGAGAAUUAACCAAAGCUGUGUUGAAAUUAGGGGAGUGGGAAAUCAGUGGAUUCCCUUUGAAUCUGA